rnacentral:rRNA from 1 species
GAGCCUGGCUCAGGAUGAACGCUAGCUACAGGCUUAACACAUGCAAGUCGAGGGGCAGCAUGUUGGUUGCUUGCAACCAAUGAUGGCGACCGGCGCACGGGUGAGUAACGCGUAUCCAACCUACCCUUGUCCAUCGGAUAACCCGUCGAAAGGCGGCCUAACACGAUAUGCGGUUCACAGCGGGCAUCUAACGUGAACGAAAUGUAAAAGGAGAAGGAUGGGGAUGCGUCUGAUUAG